rnacentral:sRNA from 1 species
AAAUAUUUAGCCGAUCGGUUUUUGCUGC